rnacentral:rRNA from 1 species
UACGUAGGGGGCUAGCGUUGUCCGGAAUCAUUGGGCGUAAAGCGCGCGUAGGCUGUCAGUUAAGUCCGGUGUGAAAGUCAAAGGCUCAACCUUUGAAUGCCGCUGGAAACUGGCUGACUUGAGUCCGGAAGGGGCGAGUGGAAUUCCUGGUGUAGCGGUGAAAUGCGCAGAUAUCGGGAGGAACACCGGUGGCGAAGGCGGCUCUCUGGGCCUGUCCUGACGCUCAGGCGCGAAAGCUAGGGGAGCAAACAGG